CCUACGGGCGGCAGCAGUAAGGAAUAUUGGUCAAUGGACGAAAGUCUGAACCAGCCAUCCCGCGUGCAGGAUGAAAGCCCUAUGGGUUGUAAACUGCUUUUAGCAGAGAAGAAAAGCUUUCAUUAAUGAGAGUCUGACGGUAUCUGCAGAAUAAGCACCGGCUAACUCCGUGCCAGCAGCCGCGGUAAUACGGAGGGUGCGGGCGUUACUGGGAAUUAAUGGGGCGAAAGGGUAGGUAUAAGGCGUUGGAGAAAUCUUGUCGCUUAACGAUAGAAUUGCCAAUGAUACUGGUACUCUUGAAUUGGGUUGAGGUUAGCGGAAUGUGACAUGUAGCGGUGAAAUGCAUAGAUAUGUCAUGGAACACCAAUUGCGAAGGCAGCUAACUGGGCCUUGAUUGACGCUGAGGCACGAAAGCGUGGGUAGCGAACAGGAUUAGAUACCCCUGUAGUC
rnacentral:rRNA from 1 species